AUUUUUUUUUUGUGUGUGUGUGUUUAUACAACCAAUAAAAACUAGUUUCUCAUUGUUUCUGAUACUUAUAUAGCUACGUAUGGUCACCUUCAUAAACAAAUAGUAGGAGUGACGCCGCUCUAUUUUCUAUUUUUCACCUGGGAAAGCCAUAAUUAAUUUUUUCGACAUAGGGUAGAAGUGACACAAGCUCUAAGUUCCAGGACAAGGAAGGGGAACGAUGCAUGUCAAUGGAAUGCAAUUCCGAACAAUACACAAUGCCAACACUCCAUGUAUAAACGCUUGGGUCCCCUGUGUUGUUGCUAACUUGCCAGACAAUAGACUCUGCUGUCGGGUGAAGGUAUCUAUACACACCUACGUGUCAACAGGGAUUCCAUCUUGCUUGCGUUUGUCAGACAUGGUGGACGUGAACCUUUGUUGCGAUCUGAAUUUCAUCCAACCUUCACAGAAAUUUCAAAACGUGGAAACGCGGAAUGACUUCCUUUGCAGCCACAGACUAAUCAGAUGCACAGUUGAGUGUCCCAAGUGUACCAGUGACUUUCUUUUUAAUAAACAAUCGUUCUUAUUUUCCGCUACACUGAGAAACAUUGCGGGGAACUUGGCCGUGUCUGAAAAAAUCUGUUGAAAUACACGAGGCCAAGUUUGGGAAAGGAAAAUAUAACCGUGGCCGGCUGUUGCAGGGAACGUGGGCUGCAGGUGGAGUGGAACGUGACUCAAAACGCUUCAACAACUAAAUCAUCAUCAUAACAAUCCAAAGCACGUGAUAGUUUCCUCCCGCCUCUGCUCAGAGCCCUGAGUUGCCGGGACGGAGGUGUGGUGCCCCUGACGGCCGUGUGGAGCAAGGUGGCUCACCGUUCACCACCUUCCCCCGGCAAUGGGUGAAGGACACCGGUUCUGUCAGCUGACACCCGGAUGCGGAGAGGGGAUGAGGAGGAAAAUUAAAUAAAUUAAACAAAUAAAUAAAUGAAUAAAUAAUAAAUAGACAAAACAAAACUGCAUAUUAUGAUAAUAGCUAACAGUCGGUCUAGGAUCUGCCCCUUGUCGAAUAACUAACACACUCCCCGAGGAUAUUACAUUGUCAAAAAGCAAGACGGUUUGCCCCCCAACUUGUCUCCUACUAUAUUUCCUUUCUCACUAUAAACCUCCACUCUUCCCUUCCCACCCACUUUACCUCUUCAUAUUUCACCCAACUUUUCUAUCCCUCCAAAAUCGCAAAAAACGCAAAACGCUUCUUGCUGGUCCCUGUAGAGCGUCGGGAUCAACAGACCCCUCUUUGUGUUGUUCAAGAACACACUGAGCGCCCCGAGCCCACCACCCACACACUCACUGCUGGCGUGGCUACGACGGUCUGCAAGGGCACGGCUUCACGCAUUUCACCGUCAAGCAUUCCCUCUUCUUGUUCACCCCUCCUCUACUUGUUGACCCCGACACUGGUGCCCACAUCCAGAACAUGGAGAGGGAGCGGCGCGAGGAAGGCGUGCACGUUCCCCGCAACAGAGGGCAGCAGCAGAAGUUUGUUUCGGGGAAGCGUUCUUUAACAGGGCACUUCCAGAGUCUGGGGAACGCUUCCACGCCUUGCUUCACGCUGGAACAAUGUACUCCUUCAAUAAAGAAUUGUUCGUGAGGAGUGGCGGGCGUCUUGUGUUUCUGGAAACUGUGACCACCGCCGUCGUCGCCGCCCGGGGAGAUCACGACAAAGAGGCAAAACAGGCGUCUGCUUAUCACCACGACAAGGAAGAAGCUAUGGACUCGCAUUACUUCAAACCAGUUUUCCUUUGUGACGUGUGGAGGCGCUGGGUUCAUGUGUGUGGCCGUGGAGCGCCUGCAGAGAGGGAUGGAGGGUGACCACCUUGCCACGAGUGAGUUUGUCAGUUGAAGGAAGACGAACGGGUACUGUCAUUCUCUGGACCACGCUGCCUCCCACUUGCCGUACGGAGGAAUGAUGUGAAGAGGACGGCAUGAACACUGACCAAGACAGCGCGACGAAGAGGAAGAAGGGACGACUAGCGGCAGUGAGACGAGAAGGGUUGGACAUCAAUAAAACAGACGAAGAAGGAAGACGAAGAAGGAA